UGUUGAGCUACUGCUCAUAGGGGAGCUUCUAGAAAGGAAGGACUUAUUGUCUUAGUUACUUGAUCCACUUCCUUACCUCCUGUUCAUGCAACUUUGCUUGUUUUGCUUCUACUAAAAUGGUUCUAGGUGCUGUGUGGACAGGUGAUACAAAAGCCUGACUCACACGGUUGACAUUCAUUCAUUCCAUUUUCAUUUCUCUUUGAGUGAUCCUGACAAGCAGAGGGUCUCAGGUGGAUAUUACUGUGUCUUUGAGACCUCUCUAAUCCUUAUCUAUCUCUCAUUUUAAUACAGAGAGUUUCAUACGCAGACCUUAAGUAGACAUAGUAUCCAGCUAAAAGGGGUCUCACUCUGUCACCCAGGCUGGAGUGCAGUGGCGCAGUCAUGGCUCCCUGUAACCUCAACCUCUCAGACUCCAGCAAUCCUCCUGCGACAGAUGUCAAAGAAAGAAAUGCAGAUCCUUCAGUUCAACUCUCAGUUGCAGUAAAGCCACCUACAGGAUCAGGUCAUACUAAACUGAAAUGUUGUUAUUAUCCUUUUCUGUAAGGGAGGCAGUCAAUGGUGAAUGCUGGCCUCGCUGAUUACUCACCUGGAGACCUUUCUGAGGAUCAGUUUUCUCAUCUAGAAAAUGGGACAACUGCCAGACCACUGAAGAAAAUACAGAAAACAGCCCCACACAUCAGCAUGUUUGGUUGCUGCCAGUCUACUUGGAUCUGAGUAUUUUUUCUUGCCAUGAAUGUGACGUGAUUAUCUUCUCCUACAUCACACUGAAGUUUUAUGAAUGAUGCUUUGAAGUGGGAAGGGCCAGAGAGUUAAUAUUUUCGGCUUCUUGGGCCAGCUGGUCUCGGUGGCAGCUACUGAGCUCUGCCACUGCAGCAGAGAACGGGCACAGGCGAUAUGGAAAUGAUAGGCGCGGCUGUGUUCCAAUAAAACUUUAUUUACAAAAAUG
rnacentral:lncRNA from 1 species